UCUCGCGCUGGCGUUCCGCCUGGUCAAAGCGCAGGCGCGAGCCUGCUGGCCGCAGCGUCGGCGCCCGCUUCUGACGUCAUCCGCACGCGCCGAAUGGGAAAGGGGCGGGGAAAAGGUUGCACGCUGGAGCGGUAGGGUGAGGUCCACGUGGGUCGAUUGUACUGUGUUGGGUGGGAGGAAAGGGCUUUUCAGGACUGUCUUGGUCGUGGAAGAGUCUGAGGGCUUCGCUGAGGCAAAGAAAAUAUUUGGAAGUGGGUUCAGUCGAAGGAAGAGUUCUACCAAUCCUUAUUUCAUGUGCAGUGCCGUAGAUUUCAAGCUGACGAAUAGUGGCUUGUGUGUUUUAAAUUCGAACAAAAAACUUUCUCCAAAAUGAAUUACUCAUUUCGAGGAGGUACUUCCGCCGCUACACUUCGUUACAUUUUUCAUAGCGUGCACAAAGUGCUGGUAAUGUAGUAGGCACUGCUUUGAUUACCUUAUGUUUACUUGGGAGGCCUGGUGGCGCAGCGGUUGGAGAGCUAUGACUGCUAACCGAGAGGUCGGCAGUUGAAAUGCGGUUCAUAUCCACUAACCGCUCUUUGGAGACCCUCUGGGGCAGUUCUACUCUGUACUAUGGGGUCGCUAAGAGUCGGAAGCCACUGGAUGGCAACGGGUGUGUUAACUUGAUUACAUCUUAAUCCUGUGCGAUGGGUCUUGUUCCUAUUUUACAGAUGGAUAAACAAUUAUCUUUCUCAAAGCCACACAGCUAGUAAGCGGUGUAGUUAGGAUCUGAACCCAGGCAGUGUGACUCCAGAUCCGCGGCUAUUAUCCACUAUGUGUUUCUCAGCUAAGGGCAUGUUGUGUGCCAUCGAGUGGAUGCUGACUCAGCGACUUUGUAUGACAGAAUUGCCCCAUAGGGUUUCCUAGGCUAUACUCUUUACUGGAGCAGAUCACUCGGUCUUUUCUACUGCAGAAGGGCUGAUGGGUUUGAACCACCCGCCUUUCGGUUAGCAGCCCAGUACUUAACCAUUGUGCUACCAGAGCUCCUUCAUGCUAAGGUCGUAGUCACCUAGAGAAUGUCAAUGGCUGAAGGUAGUUUAGGAUGAAAAGUCUUAAGCUAGGAGUCCAGGAGGAUCCGGAUUUUGAUCUCUUUCUUGGCUGUGUGACCAGGUCCAGAUCUUUUUGCCCUCUCUGAGCUUCUAUAUACCUCUCCCAUCAGUGAGGCAGGCAACAAAAUCUACGUUCACCUACACUUUUCUUCAGUGUGGUCUUGCUGCUCCCCCAACAAAAGGUAGAGUCUAAUUCUCCUUCUGUUGAAUCUGGGUGGGCUGUAACCGCUUUGCCCAAUGGAGUGACAGAAGGCCGGAGCCCUGGUAGCACAACGGUUAAGUGCUUGGCUACUAACUGAAAGGUUGGUGGUUCAAACCCACCCAGUGGCAGCAUGGGAGAAGGACCUGCAAUUUGCUUCUGUAAAGAUUAAGCCCAGAAAACCCUGUGGGUCAGUUCUACCCUAUCACAUGGGGUCACUCUGAGUUGGAAUUAACUCUACAGCACCCAACAGCCCUGAGGCCAUCAUGCUGUGAGAAAGCGGACCCACGCAGAUAGGCCAUGUGUGGAUCCUCUAGUAUACAGUCCUUGUUUCGGAGUCAACCAGACAUGUGAGUGAAAAAGCCUUCAGAUGAUUCCAGCUCCCAGACAUUGAUUCACCCCUAGUCUUUGAGUUUUUCUAGCUGAGACUUAGACAAUGUGGAGCACAGGCAAGCCAUCCCCACUGUGCCCUGCCCAAAUUCCUGACCUCCAGAAUCUGUGAACAGAGUAAAAUUGUUUCAAACCACCGGAUUUUGAAGCCAUUUUUAUUUAGCAGUAAUAACUAGAACAGGUGAGAACCUGUGCUAUAUUUAGAGUGGAGCAUGUGAACUAAUUUAUUAGCAGAGGCUCAUUUAUUAACACCUGGCUGGGUUUAACCAGGUCUGCUCCCCUGAUACAAGGGGGUGUGUUUGUGUUUGAGUGUUUGCCACUGGGUCUGCUGCCUUUGGGUGCUGGCCUCUUAUGAGCUAGCUUCUGCUCCAUGGUGGCCCAGUCAAUGUCUGUGUGGUUCACUGCUGCACCCAGCUCAGUGCCUGAUGCAGAGCAGGCACUCGAUAAAGUUUUGUUAAAUGAAUGAAUAAAUUACAGAAGCGAAAGUGGGCUAGCUAGGAGUCUGGUUAUUUUGGGCCUGUUAAAUUUACACUCUUCCUGGGCUUAUUUCUGACAUUCUACCACAUCAGCCCAAGCUGUGAAUUCCCUUUAAAAGGGAAAAUCCAGUUGCAGCUGACAUCGUAACAAGAAUUGAAACAGAUCCAGCUUAAAUAGCUCUGUUUCUAAGCCUGAUAUCUGGGAAUACUGAUGAGCAUAUUUAACUCAGAAAGGUCUCUUUGCCAGAGGCCAAAAAAAAAAAUAACUUGGUAGUGAGUUGGCUAUUCUUAGAGCUAAAGGUCCCAGAGGGUUGGGCCUAGGCCCAUGCUGGGAUUUUAUUACAGCCUUCAGCUCAGCAUCAUGUAUAACUAGGUUCAUAAACAUUAUGUCUAAUUGAUCUUGAGCUCGGGGGAGAAAGUGAAGCCCGUAGUACUCUUCUCCCCCAUUACCCUAGGCUCUGUUUCUUUCCCCUCUUCUGGCUAACCCUACAGUAUUAGCUGAUAAGGAGCUGAAGUUAUAUAACAAUCAAUUACGAAGUGUUAAAGACUUAUACCACAAACAGAUUUUACAGUGACAAGGUCAAGUAUACAAAAAUGAGUUUGUCUGGAACUAAACUUGAUUUUCAUUUUCAUUAGGACAGGAACCAUCAGGGCUUUAUUACCACGGUAUUAUCAACACCUGGAAACCCUGGUGGCAUAGUAGUUAAGAGCUAUGGCUGCUAGUAAAAAGAUCGGCAGUUCAGAUCCACCAGGCUCUCCUUAGAAACUCUAUGGGGCAGUUCUACUCUGUCCUAUAAGGUUGCUAUGAGCUGGAAGCAACUCGAUGGCAGUGGGUUUGAUAUCAACACCUAGCACAGCGCCUGCCACCACCUGUUGUCGGUUUGGCAUACCGUGGUGGCUUGCAUGUUGCUUUGAUGCUGGAAGCUAUACCACCAGUAUUUCAAAUACCAGCAGAGUCACUCAUGGUAUACAGUUUCAGCAGAGCUUCCUGGUUAAGACAGACUAGGAAGAAAGGCCUGGCAAUCUGCUUUCUAAAAUCAACCAGUGAAAACCCUAUGGAUCACAACACAACAUUGUUCGAUAUAGUGCUGGAAGAUGAGUCUCUCCGAGGCUGGAACGCCCUACAAUAGCCACAACAAUGGAUUCAAACGUACCAAUGAUCAUGAAGGUGGCGCAGGCUGGGUAGUGUUUCAUUCUGUCGUACACAAGGCCACCAUGGGUUGGGGCUGACUUGGCAACUGACAAAAUCAACAACAGCAUAGUGCCUGGCACAAUAAAUGCCAAUAAAUAUUUGGUGAAUAAAUGAUUAAAAAAAAAAAUUCAGACUUCUAAAUUGAAAUCCAGAGAGAUUAGGCAACUUGCCCAGUGUCACAUAGUUAGCAAAUGACAAGAAACUACCCUGACAAUUGUUAGUACAGGAUCCUUUCCACUAUCUCACGCAGGUUCUCUGGUAGAGUUGCUUAUGAAUUCAUUCAUUUCUUUCUUGGUCUGUCAGGGCUCUUUUGGAUGAAAGUGACCUAACUCUAAUUGCCUUAGGCAAGAAGUGGAAUGUAUAUGCUCUGAUGUCUCAAAAACCCAGUAAUAUAUGUAGCUUCGUAGCUUCAGGCAUAGCUUGAUCCAGGGGCUUAAACCGUGUCAUCAGGAAUUGAUCUCUGUCCAAUCUUUUGUCUCUGUCUUCUAAUGUGUUGGCUUAAUUUCAGAUCUCUGGAAACUGCAGGCUUGCAGCAUCCUUCACUCAUAGUCCUAGCAGUAAUGCACUCCCUGUUAUCCCUUCUGUCUGUCUUAUUGGUCAUCUUGGUUCUGGAUUGCCCACUCCUGAACUAAUCAUUGUGGUCAGGAGAAGGUGAUGCUGUGAUUGGCUAGACCUGAGCCCCAUGCCCAGCCUUGGAGCCAGUGAGAGAGUGAGCUCUCCGGGGAACGCAUGGAUUGAGAGUAGGGAAAGAAGAGUGCUCUGGUGGAAAAAUUGAGGUACCGGCAAGAACAACUCUUCUCCAUAGUAUCCUUUAAACAGUUUCUCUUCCAUCUUUGUUUGGUAGACAAAGAUGAACAUGACAGCCUUACCCCUGAGGAGUUUAUACUCUAGAGGAGGAACCAGGGGAAAUUUAAUAAGGUAUGUAUUGGGAGAGUGGUCUGCUGUGUGGCCUUGUGAUCCUCACCUGAACAACCUGAUUAGCUUUGGGCCUGGAAUAUCCUUGAUAAUGGAGGCUGGGAACUAAGCUUCCCUCUGUCUCAGUUUCUUCUUUUUUCUUAUCAGGGCAACGCCUUCCCUGUUUGGAGACUGAUGAGUACUUCUUUGUUCUGCUUAUGUGUAUGGGUCACAUAGCACUUGGCCAACCCCACUGCUCUGUUUUCUGCAGGUAUCCUUGACCUGUAGCACAAGAGGGUAGCGUGAAGACCACCAGCAGUGUGUUGGCUGCCGACUGAGACCCACUGGCCGUGAAGGAUCGACACUCCCUGUUGAAGAUGAUCUUGCUCUGUGUCUUUUCUCUGUCUUUUGCAGAUGUAAUUGGUGAAGUUAAGAUGAAGAUUGGAUGGGUCCUAAAUCCAAUGACUGCUGUCCUUAUAAGAAGAGAGAAAGAGACAUAGGGAGAUAGACACACACAGGGAAGAAGUUGGCCAUGUGAAGAUGGAGGCAGAGAUUGGUGUUAUGCUCCCACAAGUCAAGGAGCCACGAGAAGCUGCAAGAGGCGAGGAAGAAUUCUUCCCUAGAGCCUUCAGAGGGAGCGCAGCCCUGUCGUCACCUUGAUUUCCACUUCUAGGAUCCAGAACCGUGAGAGAAUAAAUUUCUGUUGUUUUAAGCCACUCAGUCUGUAGUACUUUGUUACAGCAGCCCUAGGAGACUAACACACCUCCUCACCCAGUCUGUGGUACUUUGUCACAGCACUAGGAGACUACAGACCGCCUCACCCAAUCUGUGGUACUUUGUUACCGCAGCCCUAGAAGAUGACCAUACCACUUCACCCUGUUUGGUACAGGCCACCAAGAAGGGUGGCUUGGCCUUGCAGGUGAGCAGAAGCCUACCUGGGGCCCUGGAAUCACCAUUUGAAAGGGCUGUCAGAGGAUGGAGAGGGUCAUAAUUUCUCAGAGCAGCUGUCAUUGUACAAAGGACCCUGGGCCAGGUGUCAAGAAGCCUGUCAUAAGCUGGCUAUAUGGCCUUGGGCAACCCCCUUUCUUUCUAUGAGUGUUACUUUUGUCAUUUGAGAAGGGAGGGACUGAGAUUAGACAAAGCUGUGAUAACUGAGUCCUUACAAUGUGGCCUGGGCUAGUCUCAAAUCCCACUGCAGCCUUAUUUGAGGGGUGAGUAAAAUCAGGCCCAUGUUACAACUGAGGAUACUGGCUUUGGAUAAAUUAAGUAGGGAGCCCAGGCCUCACAGCUGAUAAGGAUCAGAGGCAGGAUUUGAACUCAGAUCUGUCUGACUCCAAAGCCUGUACUCUUGGCAUUCACUGUACCCCUCUUUAGAUGAUCUAUGAUUCUGCACAUCUUAUUGAACCCGUUUCUCUCCUUUUGAGAAACUGUACAAGCAGUCUCCGAUUUAUGAUGUAUUGGAGUUACAAACUGCACUUGUAACCCUCUGUGUUUUGUUUUUUCUGGUACAUCCUGUCAUUAGUAAUAUGUGCUACAUACAGUGUUGCAGUGAGUAACUUGCUGAUGUUAUCAUCCUCAGAUGUUCAGUUUUAUGAUUUACUGUUCAAAACACUGCUGUAUUUAUUUAGUUUUCUAAACUAAAUCAGAGGCUUCGGUUGCUUGAAAACAUGGAGCCAAACAGUGAUCUCUUUGCUAAAGUGGAUAGGUGGGUUUGGGAAGCAGUGACACGUUACUGUGAAAAAAUGGAAAAAGAAAAAGAGAAGGACCAUACAGAUGACUCUCACUAAUUUUCUGACUGGAAACAUCACCCAGGGAUAAUCCAGAUGACCCAGAACCUUCCACAAGUAGAGUUAUUACCACAGCUGACAAAUGCUAAUGCCAUCCAACUCUUCUCCAUCACUGGAGCACAUUUUUAUGAUUUGUGUUUUUAAUGUAUUAAAAUAGAUUUGUAAGUUUAUAUGUAAUGCUCCCAACCCCCAAAGACAAAUAAAGAUAGGAUUUAUAAUGACACUGAUAAUAAAAGGCAAUAAUAAUGAAAAGUAAACAAAAAAAAUGAGGUAUUAGACUUACAUCAGAACUAACUUAUGCUGGAAUGGUUGGAAUGGAACCCCAUCGUCAGCUGGGGACUACCUUUACAUUGAAGUGGUUAAGUGUGUGGCCUCUGGAUCCAAACUUCUCCAGUCUGAGUCUUGAUUCUACCACUUGUGAGGUUUGUGACUAUUAGAGAUUGGAUCGUGCGCCCUUGGGAGAAUGUAUAUCGAAAUCUUGGCCAUAUGCUUUUAUGUUUUAAUCAUGUGAUUAAAUCAGUUGGCCUUGGGCAGAGCAGAUUAUCUUCCAUCUAAUGUGAUGCAAUGCAACGUAAUCUAAUGUGAUGUAAUGCGGUGUAAUCACUUUCCAUAAUGUAAUCUAAUGUAAUGUAAUCGAUCAGUCAGUUGAAGUCAUACCAGUGAAGGGUGGAUCCUAAACCUAAUUACUUCUGGUUGUAAAAAGAGCAAUUAUACACAGGGGAAUGCAUACACGGGAGAAGAUAGAUGCUAUGUGAAGACCGUCUACAAGCCAAGAAACCAAAAAAGGAAUUGACAUGGCCAAGACCCUGAUUUGGAAUUUUAGCCUCCAGAGCUCUAAGGAAAUAAACUUCUGUUUCUUUAAAGUCAUCGACUAGUGAUAUUUCUGUUAUUGCAGCACUUGGUAACUAAGUGCUAACUAAAGGAAAGCCACUUCAUUUUUUGCCAUUUGUAAAAAGGUUGCUCUAAGCCAUUUAAAUGAGUUAAUAUAUAUAAGACACUUGGAAUACCACCCAGCAUAUAGGUAAGUACUUAUAUGGUUUAACUUAUUUUUUGCCUCUAAACUUUUACUGCUCCUUCUAACACAGUCUCAAAGAGCUGUAAAUUUAGACCUUUCAUAUUAUCUCCAAGGAAGAGACACAUGGGCAGGACUGAAGAACACUUUCACCAUAUACCUUACAGGUGUGUCCCAUUACUGGGACCCUUGCCUGUAGGGCACUAUGAAUUAACAUGAAUUUUAUAAAUCUUGCAAUUGUGAAUGGUACAACUAUAUUUCACUGGCCAAUUUUUUUCAGAAGUAGACCGCCAGGUCCUUCUUCCUAGUCUGUCUAUCAGUCUGGAAGCUCUGCUGAAACCCGUCCACUGGGUGACCCUGCUGGAAAUUGAAAUAUCAGUGGCAUAGCUUCCAGCAUCACAGCAACACGCAAGCCACCACAGUAUGACAAACUGACAGCCAUGACUGGACCAGUAAGCAACAUCAUGAUAAACAGAGAAAAUUUUGAAGUUGCCAAGGAUUUCAUUUUACGUGGAUCCACAAUCAACAAUCUACAAUCAUCACCCACGGAAGCAGCAGUCAAGAGGUCAAAUGAUGUAUUGGGCAAAUCUGCUGCAAAAGACCACUGUGAAGUGUUAAAAAGCAAAGAUAUCACUUUGAGGACUAAGGUGUGCCUGACCCAACCCAUGGUAUUUUUAAUUGCCUCAUAUGCAUGUAAAAGCUGGACAACUAAUAAGGAAGACUGAAGAAGAAUUGACGCAUUUGAAUUAUGGUGUUGGUGAAGAAUAUUGAGUAUACCAUGGACUGUCAGAAGAACAAACAAAUCUAUUUUGGAAGAAAUACAGCCAGAAUACUCUUGGGAAGCCAAGAUGGUGAGACUUUGUCUCAUGUACUUUGGACAUGUUAUCAGGAGGGACCAGUCCCCGGAGAAGGACAUCAUGUUUGGUAAGGUAGAGGGUCAGCAAAAAAGAGGAAGAUCCUCAAUGAGAUGGACUGACACAGUGCUUACAACAGUGGGCUCAAACACAGCAGUGAUUGUGAGGGUGGCGCAGGGCCAGGCAGCUUUUCAUUCUGUUGUACGUAGGGAUGCUGUGAGUUGGAACCAACUACACGGCACCUAACAACAAGUAUAUUGUGUUCCAUGAUAUGAGGUUAGAAGUAUUUGUUAUAUGCAGAUAUUUAAAAUAAUUUGCAAUUUUCGUAGUCUUGUUUUGGCCUUUCUUCAUUUUUAUACCUGGGCCUCUGAAAUGGACAUGACCUAAAAUGGUUUUAGGCAGUAAAAUCAUAGGAGUGAUCUACCUCAUGUUUACAGAAAGAGCAGGGAGGCAAAGACUUCCCUUUUGACAUCUUCUCUAUGUUGGUGUUGGGUAGGGUGUAGCUUUUCUUUUCUCCUAGCUUGGGUGGUGCAAAUGGUUAAGCACUCAAAAGGUUGGUGUUUCGAACCCACCCAGAGGAGCCUUGGAAGAUAGGCCUGGCGAUCUGCUUCCAAAAGGUCACAUGCUUGAAAACGCUAUGGAGCAAUUCUACUCUGCACGCAUGAGGUUGCCAUGAGUUGGAAUUAUGUCCUCCCGAAGUAUGUGUUGUAAAUUCUAACCCCUACGCCUGUGGUUAUAAUCCCAUUGGGGAAUGGGUUGUCUUUGUUAUAUUAAUGAGGCAGGGUUAGUGUUUGGGUGUAUCUUGGGUCAAUCUCUUUUGUGGCAUAAAAGAUUGAACAAGCGAGCAGUGAGAGGUGGGGAAAGAGAGAACAGUUUGCACUCAGCUACUAACCAAACCAACAGUUUGCAGUUAGCAAUGCCACAGCAGAAAGGCCUGGCAAUCUGCUUACAGUCAUAAGGCAUAAAGAUUACAGCCAAGAAACCCUAUGGAGCUCAGCCGUACCCUGUAACACAUGGGGUCGCCAUGAGUUGGCAUUGACUCCACAGCAACAGAGUUAUUACUUAUUUCUCCCCCUCCCCUCACUCCCUCCUUCCCUUACCCCCCUUCUACUCCAUACCUGUAACUGACAAAGUGUUCUGCUCAAGAAUACGAUCUCUUCUGGUUUCAGUGGAAAUAAUAUCCUAACCACGACUAGACCUGGGCCUGAUCAGAGAAAAAAGAAUGAAUGUGCCCUGUUGCCUUGGCCGUCCACCCCACAAAUAAACUCCACACCUGGGCUCAAGGAGGCCUGCGAUGGGAAAGGAGCCUCAGGCCAGGAGAGCUGUUAUUAUGAGGGUGUUUCCAUGGAGUGUGGCCUUGUACUACCUUUUGUCUCUCAAGAGAUAAAAGCAAAAGGAACCAAAGCAGAGAGUUGGGGACCUCAUACCACCAAGAAAGCAGCAUCAGGAGCAGAGCACGUACUUUGGCCAUGGGGUCCCUGCGCCUUAGAAGCUCUUCGACCAGGGGAAGAUUGAGGACAAGGACCUUCCUCCAGAGCUGACAGAGAGAGAAGGCCUUACCCUGGAGCCAAUGCCCUGAAUUUGGAUUUGUAACCUACUAGACUGUGAGAAAAUAAAUUUCUCUUUGUUAAAACCAUCCACUUGUGGUAUUUCUGUUAUGGCAGAACUAGAUAACUAAGACAGGCUCAAACAUAGCAACGAUUACCAGGAUGGCACAGGACUGAGCAGUGUUUUGUUCUGUUGCACAUAGCGUCACUAAGAGUUGGAAUCAACUCAACAGCAUCUAAAUAACAACAACAACAUUCCAACCGAAAACAAACCAACAACAUAGCCUAAAAAAAAGAACCCUGAUGGAGAGCCUGGUUCAACUAGUGGAGCUGAGAUUAGGAUAACCAGGUGUGGGAAACAUUAUCAAGCAUCAAC